rnacentral:lncRNA from 1 species
AAAAACAAGGGAGUAAAUGAGGACCAUGAAGACAUGGGCUCAGGUAUGAGGAGACCCUUAAAAAAAAGGAAAAACUAUAAACCAAGCAAUUACUAACUCCAUGGAAGAAAAAAGAAAACACAAUAGUAUAUUAGAAUGUUCAACUGUGAAUAAGAUUCCAUGAGGCUCCUGUAUGUUGGAUGGGAGAUAUCCUAGUUUCUAGCAUCAUCAGCUUUUUGAGCUGCAACAAGGGUCAGGAAUUACCCAACAUAUCACCCAGUGUCUGCAUGUGAGCAGGUUUCUAAGGAUACAAAGGGCCCAUGGUACCUUUCCAGAGGAAUCCACGCAACACAUCACUCUGCACCUUCUCUCAUAAGCUCAGCCCACACCCUCUUUGUCGACUGUCUCAGUGGCCCUGCAUGUGUCUUAGUUGGGAUGGCUUAGUUUUCUCCCUCACAGUUGGGAGUAAUUGGGCUCAGUUGAUAUUAAAUCAUCAUAACGAUCUGGCAGCUUAUACUCAGCAUAGUUAUUUUGAGAUUCAUCCAUGUAACAAAAAUUCAUUCUUUGGAAUACUAUGCAGCCAUGAAAAGAAUGAAAUGACGUCCUUUGCAGCAACAUGGCACGUGGACUUAAAGAUGGGAACAAUAGACACUGGAGGCCAUUAGAAAAGGAAAGUAGGGAGCGGGGGCUGCGAGCUGAAAAACUACUUAUUAGGCACUAUAGUCACUACCUGGGUGAUGGGAUCAUC